GACGUAGGGCGCAAGCGUUGUCCGGAUUUAUUGGGCGUAAAGAGCUCGUAGGCGGUUUGUCGCGUCUGCUGUGAAAACUCGGGGCUUAACCCCGGGCCUGCAGUGGGUACGGGCAGACUAGAGUGCGGUAGGGGAGACUGGAAUUCCUGGUGUAGCGGUGAAAUGCGCAGAUAUCAGGAAGAACACCCGUGGCGAAGGCGGCUUUCUGGGACGGUACUGACGCUGAGACGCGAAAGCGUGGGGAGCGAACAGG
rnacentral:rRNA from 1 species